ACCCUCUUGCCUGCCACCAUGAAAGGCAUGUCUUGCUUUCCCUUUCCUUCCACCGUGAUUGUGAGCCCUCCCCAGCCAUGUGGAACUCCCCUGGUGAAGAGCUGCCUCCAACUUCCUGCGCUCACCUGCAAUACUACAGAAAGCAAGCAGAGCGCCUUAUAGAUGCACCAGAGAGUCUACGUCUACAAAGAACAAGGAGCUGAGAACCUACCAUAAAAAACUUCCAUCAAAAGGAAUAUGUAUCUUGCUUCUUGGAAAGGGAAGUUUACUUUUCUGGGGCAGGGCUUAAGGAAGUGUCCCAGCAAGACACUUGCUGAUGACUGAGCUCCGGUCAACACUGCUAGGAAGUGUCUUGGGAGUGGUGGGAAAGAACAUCAGCUCGGGGUGGGGAGCGCUGAGGGAGUUGCCUAAGAGAGGACAUAGAAGGGGCAGAGUCAGCACUACAAAUACAAGAAGUUUACUUUUGGUGCAAAUGACAGUUCCUAUUUAUUGAAAGCCUGAUGUGGAACAUGUUGAGAUUAGAGCAGGUUUCUAAAGGAUACCCAUCACCACCUUCUUGUAGUCCCCACCCUGUUCCAAACCAUUUAAAAUAAGAGAGGAGUCUGGCAGGUGGAGAACAAAAUGGGAGAGACAGCAUUGGAGAGCUCAGGUGAGGUUUAAGGCAACAACAGGCUUCUGCUGACCAGAAUCAGCCUGACUUGCACCUGGUACUGGGCAGUAGUGGAAAAAUGCUGACCUUCCCAUGUAGUGUGCCUCCCCAGAAACACAUAACGUAUGGAGGAGCCGGGCAGAAUGUGUGCUUCUGGUGGCAGCUGAAUUCCAAAGGAAACGUAGAUAGGAGGCAGGUGUACCUAUGCCCAUUUCCUACUCCCAAAUUUGCCAAGGAGGUAAUUCCUCCUUGCGGAAUCCUGAGCACAGGACCAGAAAGGAGCCAGGAGUGUUACAUGCAUCGAUGUCCCUCCACAUGGAAACACACAGCAAGGGGAAAGGAGGUUCCACAUAAGAGGUACUGUCCUAGGAGUGUUAAGUGUUUUAUCUCUAAAAUACUUCAGAACAACCUGUAAAGAGGAUAUUCAGAUCUCCAUUUUAAGAUGUAGAAACUAACGAGAUCCUGUAAUUUGCAACAACAUGGAUGGAACUGGAAGUUAUUAAGGGGAUAAGUCAGGCACAGAAAGACAAACUUCACAUAUUCUCACUUGUUUGCGAGAGCUAACAAUUAUAACAUUUGAACUCAUGGAGAUAGAGACUAGAAGGGUGGCUACCAGAGGCUGAGAAGGGUAGAGGGGGAAAUGCUAGCGGGAAGUGGAGAUGGUUACUAGGUACAGAAAAAUAGCUAGAAAGCAUGAAUAAGGGCCAGACACAAUGGCUCAUGCCUGUAAUCCCAACAUUUUAGGAGGCCAAGGCAGGAGGAUUGCUUGAGCCCAGGAGUUUGAGACCACCCUGGGCAACAUAGUGAGACUUCAUCUCUACAAAAAAAAGGAAGAUAUAAUGGUGUGCACCUAUAGUCUCAGCUACUUGGGAAGCUGAGGUGGGAGGAUCAUUUGAGCCUGGAAGGCAGAAGUUACAGUGAGCUGAGUUUGUGCUGCUGCACUCCAGCCUGGGUGACAGAGCAAGACCCUGUCAACAAAGAAAGAGAGAAAGGGGGUAUGGGGAAUAGGAGGGAGGGAAGAAGGAAAGAAGCAAGAGACCUAGUAUUUGACAGCACUACAGGGUGACUAUAGUCAAUAAUAAUUUAAUUGUACAUUUAAAAAUAACUAAAAUAGUAAAAUUGGAUUGUUUGUAACACAAAGGAUAAAUGCUUGAGGGGAUGGAUACCCCAUUAACUCUGAUGGGAUUAUUGUACAUUGCAUGCCUGUAUCAAAAUAUCCAAUCUAUGUCAUAAAUAUAUAUACCUACUAUGUACCCACAAAAAUUAAAAAUUUAAAGCAAAA
rnacentral:lncRNA from 1 species